GAGAAUAAUGGAGUUUUCCUUCUGUGUGGCUCACAAUUGACUGCAUUGAUUCCUCCAAUCUUGAGGUAAAGCCAUUCCACCUGUGGGUUUCAGCAGAUGUCAUUUCCAGAGUGAUGACCCGAAUCUCUGGCAUCUUCCAUCGCGACCCGGAGCUCACAGGAGUCUUCCUGGCACAUGUCUGUCUUUGGACCUGAUUCAAGCUACAUUUCUCAGAUCGACACUUCUUGAAGUCUAUGUGUACAGCUGUACUCAAUGCAAUGUCCAUUUCCUUACCUUCCCUGGCUCUCCAAUUCACUCCAGUGUGGCUGCUAGCCCUGCUGUUCCACUCAAACAGCUUCUGGGAAGGUUAUGGUUGACCUUCGUGUAACUGAAGUAAAAAAUAUACUUUUCUGUCUUUA